UACAGAGGUCUCAAGCGUUGUUCGGAUUCAUUGGGCGUAAAGGGUGUGUAGGUGGCGCGCUAAGUCGGGUGUGAAAUUUCGGAGCUUAACUCCGAAACUGCAUUCGAUACUGGCGUGCUUGAGGACUGGAGAGGAGACUGGAAUUCAUGGUGUAGCAGUGAAAUGCGUAGAGAUCAUGAGGAAGACCAGUGGCGAAGGCGGCGACCUGGACAGAUAUUGACGCUGAGGUGCGAAAGCGUGGGGAGCAAACAGG
rnacentral:rRNA from 1 species